rnacentral:lncRNA from 1 species
AAGCUGCUAUUCCAGUUGCUCAUAAUGUGCUCUUUGUUUUGUGCUUGGCUUAUCUUUGAGCACAAUGCAAUCUGAAGGAAGUACACCCACUCCCUGAUGUUUUCCUUGGGAGCCAGAAAUGUGUGUGCUGCGAUUUUGGGGCACUGGGACUAAGGAGUACAUAAGAGCACAAUACAGUGCUUCAGGAUUCUGAACUUGCAGAAAGCACCAUGAUCCAUAUUUCCUACCCACUCCUGUCUCUGGACAAUGGUAUUGCAGCUCAAAUCCAGGAGCACGUGCCUGCCUGAGCCCCAGCAGUGUGUGGGCAGAGCUGACAGUCACUGAGUGAGUGGAGCAGAUGCUGAAGCACUGAGAGAAAAUCUGCAGAGCAGCAGAACUUGCCCAGAAGGAUAUUCUGAAACGGGAGCAGCAUCCCCUGGGCAGGAGCAUGAGCUGGUACCACACUGUGAUCUUGUGUCUGUAGCCCUGAGAUCCUCUAAGGGUGCCCCUAAAGUGGGACUGGACUGA